rnacentral:misc_RNA from 1 species
GCUGACACAUGGUUUGAGAGGCAACAGCAAGAAGAGGAAAUGAAGCGCCUUCAAGAAGAGCAGAAGGCUGCAAUGCAGGUAGCGGAAGACUUGCAUAGAAAAAAGAUGGCUGAGGAAAGAGAAGGUGAAAAGGAUGAAGACCCUAUGGCAACGGCUGAAGCUGAGGUUUUGAAACAGAAUGCUACUUCCUAAUCAUUUUGGAUGGCCGAGGAGCUUGAGGUACUCGUCAUGCUUGUAUAGAUGAGCAAGUUGUUCCGUCCUUUUACUUGACCCCCCGUAUCUUAUGUUGUUAAAUGGCAGUAACUGUUUUUACUCUACUAACUUCAAACUUCAUGUUCGAGUUGUCAGAUAACACUAUUUUUACUCUUCUAUGGCUCAAGUUCACUUGUGUUUCAACCUACAUAAGGUUUAUAUAGCUUUGCUGCUUUAGAAACCUAUUGAUAAUCAUGUAUGUCCAGAGUCUAGGCUUUGGACGUAAAUCAUCGAAAG